rnacentral:rRNA from 1 species
UACGGAGGAUGCAAGCGUUAUCCGGAAUGAUUGGGCGUAAAGCGUCCGCAGGUGGUGUUGUAAGUCUGUUGUUAAAGCGUGCGGCUUAACCGCAUAAGGGCGAUGGAAACUACAAGACUAGAGUGCGUUAGGGGUAGAGGGAAUUCCUGGUGUAGCGGUGAAAUGCGUAGAUAUCAGGAAGAACACCGGUGGCGAAAGCGCUCUACUAUGCCGCAACUGACACUGAGGGACGAAAGAUAGGGGAGCGAAUGGG